GGGCCUGGCGCGCUCGCGCGCUCGGGCUUCGGCCCGCCACCUUUCCAAACACCUCUGCGUACUUAACUUUUGUUGCUUCCCGCCGCGCCUCGCGGCCGGCGGGGAGGUCCGCUCAAACUCCUUUUUGUAUUGGCAGUAGCUCAGUCGCGCCGGCUCAGUCCGCGCAAAGAUAAUAAACAAGUCAAAACUUUCAACAACGGAUCUCUUGGUUCCCGCAUCGAUGAAGAACGCAGCGAAAUGCGAUAAGUAGUGUGAAUUGCAGAAUUCAGUGAAUCAUCGAAUCUUUGAACGCACAUUGCGCCCUCCGGCAUUCCGGGGGGCAUGCCUGUCCGAGCGUCGAGAAACCCCUCUCCCCCGCGGUUUUGCGCCGCGGCGGGGGGUCAUGGCGGAGGAGCGGCUGGUCUUGCCGCCUCCCCGCUCGAAGGCAUCUGGCGGAGAGCCCGUGGCGGCCGUGGACGUAGUGAGACACUCUCGUCCGUCGGCCCCGUCCGGCCCUCCCGCCGCGACACCCCAGACUUCUCGCGAUUGACCUCGGAUCAGGUAGGGAUACCCGCUGAACUUAAGCAUAUCAAUAAGCGGAGGA
rnacentral:rRNA from 1 species